CUCUCUCCUAAUCUUACCUUACGGUGCUAUAUUAAGGGAAAUCUACCUUAAAUUUACCUUAGGGAGCCUCGGGAAGGGUUAAUUUACCUUAGAAAUGCCUUUAAUUAAUAAUAUCAUCCAAGGUACAGAGGAGGAAGAGGAGGAAGGUGGUCACUGUUCAGCAAAUGGCUGUUUGACAGAUCCUUCAUAUUUUCGUGUUCUUCGUCUGUUUUGCUCUGAAGAAGGAAGGAAGGCCAUCUCAGAAGACCCAAGACCCAGUCACCCCAGUCCAAGGAAAGGUCGCAAGAGGUCAAGAAGGUCACAGUACGAAGGAAAGGGAAGGGAAGGGAUAGGGAAGGAAAGGGAAGGAAGGAAAGGAAGGGAAGGAAAGGAAAGGGAUAGGAGAGGGAAGGAAAGAGAAGGGAAAGGAAGGAAAGGAAAGAGAAGGAUAAGGAAAGGAAGGAUAGAGAAGGGAAAGGAAGGGAAGGGAAGGAAGGAGAGAGAAGGGAAGGAAAGGAAGGGAAGGAAAGGAAAGGAAAGGAAGGGAAGGAAAGGAAAGGAAAGGAAAGAGAAGGGAAGGAAUGGAAAGGAAUCAACAGAGAAGUACAUAUAUAGUUCAUCUUACAGUCACAUACAGUUAGAUGCAUACAGUUACACUCACAUAAAUUUACAUACAGUUUAGACGGGGCUUCGUGGUGCAGUGGUUAGCACACUCAGCUCACAACCUUUAGAGCCUGGGUUCGAUUCCCGGACGGAGUGGACAAAAUUGGGCAGCUUUUCCAAUACCCUACGUCCCUGUCCACCCAGCAGUGUACCAGGUAUUAAUCGGGGGUUGUGUCCCGUCUCCUGCGAUCUGUUCCCUUCUCCUAUAAUUCCUUCCCCUUCUGUCUCUCUCCGGCAUAUGACCACAGAUGUUGCGCAGACUUAACCAAACUUUCCAACUUUUUAUGACCUUCUCCAUUAUAUCCGAAAUCCAUAAUAAAUUGGUCUGUUAUAUCUAGGGUUUACUGUAUAUGUAUAUGGUUAAGCUGUUGUAGUUACCAGAAGCAGGUGGUUCAAAAACUAUUCUCGGUGCGUCCCCGUGGAUUUCUCACCCUUUGACCUUGUCCGUUAUAUCCGAAAUCCAUUAUGAUCGGGUCCGUUAUAUCCAGGGUUUACUGUAUUAUGUAUAUAGUUAACCCGGUAGCAGCGACGGGCCAAAUUUGUGGCUUUACCGUGUAGCAGCGACAGGCCAAAUUUGUGCCAUGAUAUAACCCCAAAAAAAUAGAUGAUACAUAAUCUGAUCAUAAAUGCUUUGAUAUAUAUUAUGAAAUGGUUUGUGUGAGGGGUGAAUUUUUUUCUCAUUUUUCUCGCUUAGAGGGACCAUUAAGAAACAUGUGAUCCCCGCUGCUACCGGGUUAAGCUGUUGUAGUUACCAGAAACGGGUGGUUCAAAAACUAUUCUUGGUUGGUCCCUGUGGAUUUCUGACCCUCUGACCUUGUCCGUUAUAUCCGAAAUCCAUUAUAAGCAGGUCCGUUAUAUCCAGGGUUUACUGUAUAGUUGAGGUCAAUUCGCCUACAGUUCAGAUAGUUAGUUUUAUACAGUUUAGAGCUAGCUUUCUUUCUCUCUGUUAAGAUAAUAUUGCCUGUGUUAUAGUUCAGCUUACUCUCACUAGGUAGGCAUAUACAUAGGCCUAUACAGUUUGCUACAUACUGAUUAGAGAGCUUUCCCUCUCUCUGUUAAGAUAAUAUUGCCUUUGUUAUAGAGUAUAUAUAACAUACAGUCUCAUAUGGUUAGCUAUGUACAUAGUUGAGUUUAUUUUGUUUGUAUCUUCUUACCUUACCUCUCUCUCUCUGGUCAUCUCUUUCUGUCAUUCCAUAGUUAGUAGGUUAGUUAAGACACUAUCUUGCCUUACCUUACCUUGCCUUGCCUUGCCUUAAUAUCUCCUCUCUCUCUCUGGUCAUCUCUUUCUGUCAUCCCAUAGUUAGUUAGUAGGUUAGUUGAGACACUAUUACUAUUUAAUAUUAUUACCUUGCCUCUCUCUCUCCCCCUUAUGAUACCUUUCUCUCUUUCUUUUAUUGGUAAAUUUCUUCUGUUCUUUCUUUCAUUAUUUGUUUUCCUUCUCUCAUCUGUUUCCUUCCCUUACCUCCUCUCUCUUUUGCUUCUCAUUUCGUUCUCUCUCUCUCUCUCUCUCAUAUGAAUAUAGCACAAGCAUCACAAAUUAACUUUUUAUUAAUAGAAAAACACACAUACAUGCAUAUACAUACACAUAGUAACAUUGAUAGGGUUAUGUGGGUGCUAUGUUGGCUAGGGGGGAGGGAGGAGGGGGUCCUUCAUGAGGCUGGGGGGGGGGGGGGGGGUAUGUGUCUGUGGGGGGUUGUCAGCCUACUGUGGGGGGGUACAUCUGUGGGGUCCUGUGAGCUGUGGUGAGGUGAGAGAGAGAGAGAGAGAGAGAGAGAGAGAGAGAGACCUCUCUCUCUAUCUCACCUCUCGAGUCUCUCACUCACUCUAUGAUCUAAUGUAUAUAGUUAUGCAUAUGUUGUAUAA